rnacentral:sRNA from 1 species
AUUUAAGGUAAAUCUUUGAACUCUGAAAAUAUUUAUUGGGUAGAGUCCCACAAAAUUUUAAAUUGAUUCUAAACAAGAGAUCCAUAUUUAUGUAGUUAGACCCUGUUUGUUUCUUCAUCCAAAUGGAUCAUCUGGAUGGAGAUGAAAAAUGAUGUUUGUUUUUGACAAAUUAACAAAUCAUUUGGAUGAAUCAUUUGGAUGGUCCAUCUGAAUGACUUUGUAAAUUUAGGCUAAUUUGUGAAACUCAUUUGGAUGGACUUGGUAGAACCAUUUGGAUGGAGAUGAUUUAGUCCAAAAAACCGCAAAAUCAUAUUUUCCCGCAAAAACCAUAAAAUCAUGUUUUCCCGCCAAAAUCAUAUUUCUCGCCAAAACCGUAAAAUCAUAUUUUUCCACCAAACCACAAAAUCAUAUUUUUCCCGGUAAAACCGUAAAAUCAUAUUUUCCCGCCAAAACCUAAAAUUGUAUUUUCCCGCCAAAACCGUAAAAUCAUAUUUUCCCACCAAACCACAAAAUCAUAUUUUUCCCGCUAAAACCGUAAAAUCAUGUUUUUCCGCCAAAAUCUUAUUAUCAUAUUUUCCCACCAAAAUCGUAAAAUUAUAUUUUCCGCCAAAACCACAAAAUCAUAUUUUUCGCCAAAACCGUAAAAUCAUAUUUUUCCGCCAAAACCGUAAAAUCAUUUCUUCAUUAAAAUUAUAUUUGGUAAUGAUGUUAAAUAUUUGUCAUUUGUUAAAAUUAUAGAAUGGGUAUUUUAGUCAUUUUUAUUAGAAUGAGAAUGUAGAUGAAUUACAAAAUGAUCAAACAAAGAAAUAUUCAUUUAAAUGCAUCAUUUAGAUAAAAUACUAAAUAAUCAAACAAACAUCAUUCAAAUACAUCAUUUAAAUUGAUCAUGUAAAUGGAUCAUUUAGAUGUAAAUGACAAAUGAUCAAACAAACAGGGGAUAAAGCUAAGCUAAACAAUUCAAUUCUAU